GGUUAAGCGACUAAGCGUACACGGUGGAUGCCCUGGCAGUCAGAGGCGAUGAAGGACGUGCUAAUCUGCGAAAAGCGCCGGCGAGGUGAUAUGAACCUUUGACCCGGCGAUGUCCGAAUGGGGAAACCCAGUGUGUUCCGACACACUAUCGUUAACUGAAUACAUAGGUUAACGAGGCGAACCGGGGGAACUGAAACAUCUAAGUACCCCGAGGAAAAGAAAUCAACCGAGAUUCCCCCAGUAGCGGCGAGCGAACGGGGAGCAGCCCGGAGUCUGAAUCAGCUUGUGUGUUAGUGGAACGGUCUGGAAAGUCCGACGGUACAGGGUGAUAGUCCCGUACACGAAAAUGCACAGGUUGUGAACUCGAAGAGUAGGGCGGGACACGUGGUAUCCUGUCUGAAUAUGGGGGGACCAUCCUCCAAGGCUAAAUACUCCUGACUGACCGAUAGUGAACCAGUACCGUGAGGGAAAGGCGAAAAGAACCCCGGCGAGGGGAGUGAAAAAGAACCUGAAACCGUGUACGUACAAGCAGUGGGAGCCUCUUUAUGGGGUGACUGCGUACCUUUUGUAUAAUGGGUCAGCGACUUAUAUUCUGUAGCAAGGUUAACCGUAUAGGGGAGCCGAAGGGAAACCGAGUCUUAACUGGGCGUUAAGUUGCAGGGUAUAGACCCGAAACCCGGUGAUCUAGCCAUGGGCAGGUUGAAGGUUGGGUAACACUAACUGGAGGACCGAACCGACUAAUGUUGAAAAAUUAGCGGAUGACCUGUGGCUGGGGGUGAAAGGCCAAUCAAACCGGGAGAUAGCUGGUUCUCCCCGAAAGCUAUUUAGGUAGCGCCUCGUGAACUCAUCUUCGGGGGUAGAGCACUGUUUCGGCUAGGGGGCCAUCCCGGCUUACCAACCCGAUGCAAACUACGAAUACCGAAGAAUGUUAUCACGGGAGACACACGGCGGGUGCUAACGUCCGUCGUGAAGAGGGAAACAACCCAGACCGCCAGCUAAGGUCCCAAAGUCAUGGUUAAGUGGGAAACGAUGUGGGAAGGCACAGACAGCCAGGAUGUUGGCUUAGAAGCAGCCAUCAUUUAAAGAAAGCGUAAUAGCUCACUGGUCGAGUCGGCCUGCGCGGAAGAUGUAACGGGGCUAAACCAUGCACCGAAGCUGCGGCAGCGAC
rnacentral:rRNA from 1 species